rnacentral:rRNA from 1 species
CUACGGGAUGCUGCAGUGGGGAAUAUUGCACAAUGGAGGAAACUCUGAUGCAGCAACGCCGCGUGGAGGAUGACACUUUUCGGAGCGCAAACUCCUUUUAUAUAGGAAGAAGAUGACGGUACUAUAUGAAUAAGCGCCGGCUAGCUCCGUGCCAGCAGCCGCGGUAAUACGGAGGGCGCAAGCGUUACUCGGAAUCACUGGGCGUAAAGAGCGUGUAGGCGGAUUAAAAAGUCAGAAGUGAAAUCCUAUAGCUUAACUAUAGAACUGCUUCUGAAACUCUUAAUCUAGAAUAUGGGAGAGGUAGAUGGAAUUUCUGGUGUAGGGGUAAAAUCCGUAGAGAUCAGAAGGAAUACCGAUUGCGAAGGCGAUCUACUAGAACAUUAUUGACGCUGAGACGCGAAAGCGUGGGGAGCAAACAGGAUUAGAUACCCUAGUAGUC